rnacentral:tRNA from 1 species
GGGGCCAUGGCUCCGUGGUAGAGUAUCUGCUUUGCAUGCAGAAGGUGUCAGGUUCAAUCCCUGGUGUCUCUA